ACGCUCGACACCUACGGGAGGCGGCAGUGGGGAAUAUUGCACAAUGGGGGAAACCCUGAUGCAGCGACGCCGCGUGAGUGAAGAAGUAUUUCGGAUGUAAANCUCUAUCAGCAGGGAAGAAGAUGACCGGUACCUGAGUAAGACGCCCCGGCUAACUACGUCGGCCGGCAGCCGGCGGUAUCUAGGACGGCCGGGGCUGGACAAGGC
rnacentral:rRNA from 1 species